rnacentral:rRNA from 1 species
AUUGAACGCUGGCGGAAUGCUUUACACAUGCAAGUCGAACGGCAGCACGGGGGCAACCCUGGUGGCGAGUGGCGAACGGGUGAGUAACACAUCGGAACGUGCCCAGUCGUGGGGGAUAACGUAGCGAAAGCUACGCUAAUACCGCAUACGAUCUACGGAUGAAAGCGGGGGAUCGCAAGACCUCGCGCGAUUGGAGCGGCCGAUGGCAGAUUAGGUAGGUGGUGGGGUAAAGGCUCACCAAGCCGACGAUCUGUAGCGGGUCUGCGAGGGCGACCAGCCACACUGGGACUGAGACACGGCCCAGACUCCUACGGGAGGCGGCAGUGGGGAAUUUUGGACAAUGGGCGCAAGCCUGAUCCAGCCAUUCCGCGUGCAGGAUGAAGGCCCUCGGGUUGUGAACUGCUUUUGUACGGAACGAAACGGCUCUCUCUAAUACAGGGGGCUAAUGACGGUACCGUAAGAAUAAGCACCGGCUAACUACGUGCCAGCAGCCGCCGUAA